rnacentral:rRNA from 1 species
AUUGAACGCUGGCGGCAGGCCUAACACAUGCAAGUCGAACGAGUGGCGGACGGGUGAGUAAUGUCUGGGGAUCUGCCCGAUGGAGGGGGAUAACUACUGGAACCGGUAGCUAAUACCGCAUACCAUCAGAUGUACCCAGAUGGGAUUAGCUAGUGGGUGGGGUAACGGCUCACCUAGGCGACGAUCCCUAGCUGGUCUGAGAGGAUGACAAGCCACACUGGGACUGAGACACGGCCCAGACUCCUACGGGAGGCAGCAGUGGGGAAUAUUGCAAAAUGGGCGCAAGCCUGAUGCAGCCAUGCCGCGUGUAUGAAGAAGGCCUUAGGGUUGUAAAGGACUUUCAGCGGGGAGGCGUUACCCGCAGAAGAAGCACCGGCUAACUCCGUGCCAGCAGCCGCGGUAAUAC